rnacentral:piRNA from 1 species
UGCAAAAAGGCCAGGAGCUGCAGG